rnacentral:misc_RNA from 1 species
UUUCCGUAGGUGAACCUGCGGAAGGAUCAUUCAUAAUAAGUGUUUUAUGGCACUUUUUUAAUCCAUAUCCACCUUGUGUGCAAUGUCAGGGUUGAUUUUUCUCUCGAGAGGAUCAGCCCCAAACAUCAACUAUAUCUCAACUCUUUGUCUGAAAAAUAUUAUGAAUAAAACAAUUCAAAAUACAACUUUCAACAACGGAUCUCUUGGCUCUC